CCGCGUUUCUCAACCUAAAACAAAAUUCCCAUGGAAGCUACCCGCCACAAAUGAAAACUCAAACUCCUUCCCGCACAAACUCAACAGCCCUAAUUCCCAAAAUCCACCGGCAAUAACUCUCUCACAAAAAAUAUCGAUGAAGAAGAACACGCAGAACUCAAUUUCAAACCACACAGAGAUGGAAUCCUCAGCACCACCAAUCAGAAACCCUAAAAGCGCAUACCACAUCGGAGGCAUCCCAGUCGAAUUCCCGUACCAACCCUACGGAUCCCAGCUGGCGUUCAUGGGCAGAGUCAUCUCAACGCUCGGUCGAGCUCAACGGGACGGCAGCUGCCACGGCUUGCUCGAGUCGCCCACGGGUACCGGAAAGACGCUGUCGCUGCUCUGCUCGGUUCUCGCUUGGCAAAAGAAUUACCAGUCGAAGAAUAUCAGCGCUAAUCCUGCCGCGUAUUUGAGGCCUGAUCCGGAGGGCCGGACCGAUCCUCUAGGUUAUGGCGGCGGAUUUGUUCCUGAAUCGCAGCCUUCAGCUUCAGGAAAUCCAGAGCCAGUUAAGUUCGCAACAAGCAACAGUAGUUCGAAGAAAAAGACUGCACCUACCAUUUUCUAUGCCUCGAGGACACACACACAAAUUACUCAGGUGAUCCGUGAAUACAAGAAAACAACUUACCGGGUGCCAAUGGCAGUGUUGGCAUCAAGGAAACAUUACUGCACAAACAUGCAUGUGCAUGGCCAAGACAAUAUCGAUGAAGAAUGUAAGUUGCUUUUGAAAGAUCCUGACGUAGGGUGCCCAGAAUUCAAAAACAUGAACAAGGUCAAAGGCCAUUUAUCUCUCAAGAAAGGAGGUUGCCAUGAGGUUCAUGACAUUGAAGAUCUUGUGAAAGUUGGACAGGCUGUGAAAGGUUGUGCCUAUUUUGCUGCACGGUCCAUGGCAGAAGAUGCGCAACUAGUUUUUUGCCCAUACAAUUACAUUGUUAAUCCAGUUAUCCGCAGAGCAAUGGAAGUUGAUAUUAAAGGGGCCAUUCUCAUUCUUGAUGAGGCGCAUAACAUAGAAGACAUGUCUCGUGAGGCAGGUAGCGUGGAUGUUGACGAAGAUGUUUUACAUAAACUGCAGACAGAGCUAGGGCAAUUGACUUUUGCUGAUGCAACGAUUUACCAACCUUUGUAUGAAAUGAUACAGGACAUCGUAAGUUGGAUGGAACGAAGAGAAAGUACCUUAGAAAAGCGUGAAUUUCAGCAUUACUUCUCAUGUUGGAGCGGAGAUAAGGCUUUAAGGGAGCUCGAAGAAGCAAACAUUUCGCGGCAGUGCUUCCCUAUAUUGCUAGAUUGUGCCUCAAAGGCAAUCAAAGCUGCUUCAGAGAUGGAGAUGGCCCAUUUAACGGGCAUGUCAGCUAUAACAUUGGAAGGGUUGUUCUCAUCACUUACCUAUUUCUUCUCUGGAAAUGGGGUGCACAUAAAUGAUUAUCAGCUUGUACUACAACGAUAUGUCAAAAGAGAUUAUCAGCUUGGACUACAACGAUAUGUCAAAAGAGAUGGUGGAAAUGUUGCUGCUGUCUGGACAUAUACCUUUAGUUUGUGGUGCAUGAAUCCAGCUGUUGUCUUCAGAGGCAUUGCUGAUCUUUCUUUAUCUGUGAUUCUAACGUCUGGGACCCUAUCCCCAAUGAACUCGUUCUCAUCAGAACUUGGAGUUCAGUUUGGAACUUGUCUGGAAGCUCCACAUGUGAUAGAUGUUGAUUCUCAGGCGUGGGCUGCUGUAAUCUCUACUGGCCCAGGUAAUUUUCCAUUGAAUGCAAGUUAUAAGACAGCUGAUGGAUUUGCCUUCCAGGAUGCACUAGGCACAUCGUUGGAGGAAAUAUGCAAGAUUGUUCCUGGAGGUUCUCUUAUUUUCUUCCCUAGCUAUAAGUUGAUGGAGAAACUAUGCAAUCGUUGGCGUGAAACAGGUCAAUGGUCUCGAUUAAGUGCUCGGAAAUCCCUUUUUAUUGAGCCGAGAGGAGGAAGCCAGGAUGAUUUUGAGCCUAUGUUGAAGGAUUAUUACGAUACGAUUAGUGGAAGCAAAAAGCCUGCUGUUGGAAGAAAGAGAAGGGGUAAAAAACUUGGCCUUAAUAACUGUGACAGUGUGGAUUGUGCAGGCAUUAUUUCUAAGGAAGGAGCUGCUUUUCUAGCAGUUUGCCGAGGAAAGGUUUCAGAAGGACUUGAUUUCUCCGAUGAAAAUGCUAGAGCGGUUAUAAUUGUGGGCAUUCCCUUUCCAAACAUAAAUGAUAUUCAAAUUGCUCAGAAGAAGAAAUAUAAUGACACAUACAAGUCAUCUAGAAACCUUCUGAGUGGGAGCGAGUGGUACUGUCAACAAACCUUCCGAGCUCUCAAUCAAGCUGCAGGCCGUUGUAUCCGACAUCGGUUUGACUAUGGAGCUAUCAUCCUGCUAGAUGAACGGUUUCGUGAAGAAAGGAAUAGAACUUAUAUUUCAAAAUGGCUAAGGAAAUCCAUCAGGCAGCAUGACAGCUUUGACAAGUCACUUGAGGAAUUACAAUCGUUUUUCAGAGAUGUCAAGGAACGGGUUGGCAAAGUGACUGUUAGUGGUUUACCAAAUCCCGAGAUCGAUGAGGAGAAUAUUUCUGAUAUGCCUCAAGGCAAAGGGUCCACAAGAAAGACAAAUCAGAAAUUGAGCAAACCUAAUAUGUGUGGAUCAAAAUUAAAUUCAAACGACAUGACAGAUAUGGACGAAACUUCCAGUUUAUGCCAAUCUCCAACUUGUGCUACAAAGUGUGAUGCCACCUCUAUAAAAUCAAAAUCAGAAGACAAUGAUGAAGUUCAAGUAUUGCAGCUGACAGAUGCAAAAUAUACCAACUGUUCCAGAGAGUAUAUUGAUCUCAAAAGCAGAUCUCGGAAUGAUUUUAGGUGCUCUGGGCCUUUAUCCAUGACAUUUACCGAUGAUGACCCCGAAGUAACCAUUGUCAAAGAAACCCCUUCUGUGGAUGUCAAUCUCUCUCUAACCAGUCCACGAUCCUUCUCUAAGGAUGAAAAUUCUUGUUCAACAAUAAUUCAGGCCCCUUCUGAGUUUCCGGACCACUUAUUACAUUCCACAUCCCCAUCAAUUUCAAAUGCAGGUCAUUUUUUGUACAGUAGUCCAUUGGCGGUCACCCCUGAAAGAAACUUCACUAGAGAUGCAAACAGAUUAUUAGCUGAUCCAGAAUGUGCCUUGAAUUUGAGCGUCAAUUCUCAUAUCCAGAAAAGGAGAAAGUCUGUAGGGUCAACAUUAGUUAACCUUGCGCGAACGCAACACUUUGAUGCUUCUGAUUGCACAUUCAAUGAUCAUCAAUCCAUCACGGGAAAUGAUUCUUUGGAAUCAUGUAAGCCUUCAAGUCAUGUUUUGGAAAAGGGACUGCAAAUAUUUUGCUCACUCUGCAGGAAUCCAUUGGGUCUUCCUGAGAACCAUUUGUUUGUUAGAUGCUCCGAAACUUCUUCAUCAAAGACUUACUUGGCAGCUCUUUUGAAAGAAAGGUUUGAAGAUUCUGGUGACAGUAAGUCAAUUGAUAUACGUGUUGUGAUAUCAGACCUAUCAUCAGUUGAUCAGCGGCUUUUUAAUAGAACUCAUGAAGGUGCUCUAGGACAGGGCAUUUGGUGUAGGGAAGAUGGUUGCGUGUUCAGCACUAUUUUAUGCCCCUUCUGCACUAGUCCAGAAAAUUGUCUUGGUGUACGGGUAAUGGCAACUGAUGCGUCAAAUCUUCAUUUACUUGACAAGGUAUUGUUUUAUCAGGAUCGUUUGGAAAUUAAGAAUCUUGAAGCAUCAAAAGAAAAAGGAUUGGGUUGUAUGCCUUUCCUGAAAGGCAAAUUAACACUAGUGAACUCAAUUGUAGGAUAUAUCACCAGUCAGUGGCUCCGUCUCCGAUUGUGUGGCUCCCAUUUUGAUUGAGAAAUUCUCAUACAUCCCUUUGCAGAAGAACCCAGAAGGCUGGAGGACUACUAGAUCAAAGGUACAAUUGUCAAAGGUUAGACUUCUUCCUACCUCAAGGGUUUAAGGUUCAACCCAGACAAAACUUUUGGGAUCUAUCGUAGCAUUGUAAUGUGCAAUUACAAACCGGAUUAGACGGAGCAUUUGUCAGGACCGGAGAUGUCAAAAUGCUAAACUGGGUGAGAUGUAGAUAUUUUUCAAGUGGGCAUUUGAAAGCUUUUUGGGAGGGAAACAAGCCUUUGUACGGUACAUUGGGGAGUUGGGUUUUCAUCACGCUUCCUGCAACUUUGUAGCUCUUCCAUCAAUCUCUAAUAACCCUAUGAGUUUUGAGACUGUCCUCGCAGUUUGGUGCCUUGACCUUGAUUCUCGAAAGCUGAAGCAGGUGAAUUUCUUGCGAUUGUUCUAGUCCUGAUGAGGUGUAGUUGAGCAGAGCUUGUUUGCAUGAAGGGGGAGGAUGACAGUAGUCUUUAUCUUUUAACUUAUGUACAAUAUGUCAAAUGAGUUUUUGUGUCUCGCAACGAAAUUUUGACCCAGAUGAAUGCUAGUGUUAACAGCAUUCAUGACAGUUCCCCACUAGCUAUUCACAAUCUCUCUUUUUCAUAAUGAUGGAGAGGUGUGUGACCAGAUUGAUGUGCACAUAAUUGGUCAAAAAUGUGUUGAGAACUAUUCGAUGCUUGAGGAUUGCUCGUUUUAUUAUUGGGUCUAUGUGUAUUGGACAACUCCAUACAGAACUGUGUUUGGAUUUAUACACAAAAGUCUGCAUGUAUCAUUGCUUAAUAAUAAUCUAGAUCUAGACACUGUAUAAUAAGAGAA